AGAGGUCACUGGACGAUCGCGGGGGUCGGCAUCUGCCGGCCGUCGAGGAAAGUCCGGGCUCCACAGGGUAGGGAGACUGGUAAAUCCAGCCGUCUUGCUGCGGGUGGCAAGGCAGGGAAAGUGUCACAGAAAGCAAACCGCCCCGUCGGUUCGCCGACGGUGGUAAGGGUGAAAGGGUGGGGUAAGAGCCCACCGCGGGGGCCGCAAGGCAACCGGCAUGGUAAACCCCUCCUGGAGCAAGCUCGACCGGUACCACGGCGCGACCCGCGUUAACGGCACCAAAGGAGCGCUAGAGUUGCGGUGGCAACGCCGUAGCCCAGACAAAUGAUCGUCGUCAACAGAACCCGGCUUACCGGUGACGCUCCACCC
rnacentral:RNase_P_RNA from 1 species